GGUGUGUGUGUGUGUUUGGAGGUGUGUGUGUUUGGAGGGUGUGUGUGUGUUUGAAGGACAUGUGUUUCGAGGGUGUGUGUUUGAAGGAAGUGUGUGUUAGGUGUGUGUGGAGGUGUGUGUGUGUGUUUGAAGGAGGGGUGUGUGUGUGUGUUUGGAGGUGUGUGUGUGUUUGAAGGAGGUGUGUGUUAGGUGUGUGUGUGUGUUUGGGGGUGUGUGUGUGUUUGGAGGCGUGUGUGUGUUUGGAGGUGUGUGUGUGUUUGGAGGUGUGUGUGUUUGAAGGAGGUGUGUGUUUGGAGGUGUGUGUGUUUGAAGGAGGUGUGUGUUAGGUGUGUUUGUGUUUGGAGGUGUGUGUGUGUUUGAAGGAGGUGUGUGUGUUUGGAGGUGUGUGUGUGUUUGGAGGUGUGUGUGUGGAGGUGUGUUUGGAGGUGUGUGUGUGGAGGUGUGUGUGUGUGGAGGUGUGUGUGUGUGUUUGGAGGUGUGUGUGUGGUGUGUGUUUGGAGGUGUGUGUGUGGAGGUGUGUGUGUGGAGGUGUGUGUGUGUGGAGGUGUGUGUGUGUGGAGGUGUGUGUGUUAGGAGGAGGUGUGUGUUGGGUGUGUGUGUGUUUGCAGGUGUGUGUGUUUGGAGGUGUGUGUGUGUUUGGAGGUUGUGUGUGGAGGUGUGUGUGUGUGUGGAGGUGUGUGUGUGUGCUUGAAGGAGGUGUCUGUGAUGUGAUCCCAAGAAAAGGAACCACGAGCACAGAUCCUGCCUUCAGGAAGCUCCCAGACUGAAGGAGGAGGCAUGGCCCCUGCCCUAAAAGAGUUCCCCUCUCCUGAUGCAAAGAAACACAGCUCCUGUCCACAAGGAACCCUGAAUCUGAUGAAGUAGAGCAUCACAAUCAGACAAACAUACAGACAGAUGGGGACACACACACCCUACAAAGACAUAGUGAACAUAAUACUACCUGGUAUUUUCACAGGAAAUAAAAUCGCACCCCCUCUGUGCUAAACACCCCCCAAGGAGGAUCUUGCUUCAUGCAACAACUCACCGGGCAGAGAUGAUUAUUGACACUUGACAAACAAGUGUCAACCUUGGUCUUCCCAUUCC
rnacentral:lncRNA from 1 species